UGAGGAAUAUUGGUCAAUGGGCGAGAGCCUGAACCAGCCAUGUCGCGUGCAGGACUACGGCCCUACGGGUCUUAAACUGCUUUUGCCGGGGGAUAAAGUCGGGGGUUCGCCCCCCGUUCGCAGGUACCCGGCGAAUAAGGAUCGGCUAACUCCGUGCCAGCAGCCGCGGUAAUACGGAGGAUCCGAGCGUUAUCCGGAUUUAUUGGGUUUAAAGGGUGCGUAGGCGGCCUGUCAAGUCGGCGGUGAAACCCCCGGGCUCAACCCGGGGACUGCCGUCGAAACUGACGGGCUUGAGUACGUUGGGAGUGCGCGGAAUGUGUGGUGUAGCGGUGAAAUGCUUAGAUAUCACACAGAACACCGAUCGCGAAGGCAGCGCACUACGCCGUAACUGACGCUGAGGCACGAAGGUGCGGGGAUCGAACAGG
rnacentral:rRNA from 1 species